UACGGGGGGGGCAAGCGUUGUUCGGAAUUACUGGGCGUAAAGGGCUCGUAGGCGGCCAACUAAGUCAGACGUGAAAUCCCUCGGCUUAACCUGGGAACUGCAUCCGAUACUGGAUGGAUUGAAUCCGGGAGAGGGAUGCAGAAUUCCAGGUGUAGCGGUGAAAUGCGUAGAUAUCUGGAGGAAUACCGGUGGCGAAGGCGGCAUCCUGGACCGGCAUUGACGCUGAGUGAGCGAAAGCCAGGGGAGCAAACGGG
rnacentral:rRNA from 1 species